UCGCUUUGGGAGGGACCUGCGUCCCAUCAGCUAGUUGGUGAGGUAAUGGCUCACCAAGGCGACGACGGGUAGGGGACCUGAGAGGGUGGCCCCCCACAAUGGAACUGAAACACGGUCCAU
rnacentral:rRNA from 1 species